rnacentral:rRNA from 1 species
AGAGUUUGAUCCUGGCUCAGGACGAACGCUGGCGGCGUGCCUAACACAUGCAAGUCGAACGGAAGUAAGAGCUUCGGUUUUUACUUUAGUGGCGAACGGGUGAGUAACGCGUGAGGAACCUGCCUUUCAGUGGGGGACAACAGUUGGAAACGACUGCUAAUACCGCAUAAUGUUUCCGGUCCGCAUGGACUGGAAACCAAAGCUUUAUGUGCUGAAAGAUGGCCUCGCGUCUGAUUAGAUAGUUGGUGGGGUAACGGCCUACCAAGUCGACGAUCAGUAGCCGGACUGAGAGGUUGAACGGCCACAUUGGGACUGAGAUACGGCCCAGACUCCUACGGGAGGCAGCAGUGGGGAAUAUUGGGCAAUGGGCGCAAGCCUGACCCAGCAACGCCGCGUGAAGGAAGAAGGCCCUCGGGUUGUAAACUUCUUUUGUCAGGGACGAAGCAAGUGACGGUACCUGACGAAUAAGCCACGGCUAACUACGUGCCAGCAGCCGCGGUAAUACGUAGGUGGCAAGCGUUGUCCGGAAUUACUGGGUGUAAAGGGAGCGUAGGCGGGAAGGCAAGUCGAUUGUCUAAACUAUGGGCUCAACCCAUAGUCGCGAUCGAAACUGUCUUUCUUGAGUGAAGUAGAGGUAAGCGGAAUUCCUAGUGUAGCGGUGAAAUGCGUAGAUAUUAGGAGGAACACCAGUGGCGAAGGCGGCCUGCUGGACAGCAACUGACGCUGAGGCGCGAAAGCGUGGGGAGCAAACAGGAUUAGAUACCCUGGUAGUCCACGCUGUAAACGAUGGAUACUAGGUGUGGGGGGUCUGACCCCCUCCGUGCCGCAGUUAACACAAUAAGUAUCCCACCUGGGGAGUACGAUCGCAAGGUUGAAACUCAAAGGAAUUGACGGGGGCCCGCACAAGCGGUGGAGUAUGUGGUUUAAUUCGAAGCAACGCGAAGAACCUUACCAGGGCUUGACAUCCUACUAACGAAGUAGAGAUACAUUAGGUGCCCUUCGGGGAAAGUAGAGACAGGUGGUGCAUGGUUGUCGUCAGCUCGUGUCGUGAGAUGUUGGGUUAAGUCCCGCAACGAGCGCAACCCUUAUUGUUAGUUGCUACGCAAGAGCACUCUAGCGAGACUGCCGUUGACAAAACGGAGGAAGGUGGGGACGACGUCAAAUCAUCAUGCCCCUUAUGUCCUGGGCUACACACGUGUUACAAUGGCUGGUACAACGAGCAGCAAACUCGCGAGGGUAAGCAAAUCUCUUAAACCCAGUCUCAGUUCGGAUUGCACUCUGCAACUCGAGUGCAUGAAGUCGGAAUCGCUAGUAAACGCAGAUCAGCACGCUGCGUUGAAUACGUUCCCGGGUCUUGUACACACCGCCCGUCACACCAUGGAAGUCGACCACGCCCAAAGUACGUGAGCUAACCAUUCGGAGGCAGCGUCCUAAGGCAGGGUUGGUAACUGGGGUGAAGUCGUAACAAGGUAGCCGUACCGGAAGGUGUGGCUG